GUUAAAACGCUCGUAGUUGGAUAUUUGUCAAGGACUGCCGGUCUACCCUAGCGGUCAGCACUCGGUAUGUCCUCGGCAUUUUCCUGGAGACAGUGUUCGUACUUAAUUGUAUGGCACAUGAACCAGAACUUUUACUUUGAGGAAAUGAGAGUGUUUCAAGCAGGCGUACGUCGUGAAUACGUUAGCAUGGAAUAAUAGCAUAGGACCCCGGUCUGAAGCUGUUGGUUUUUGGGCCGAGGUAAUGAAAAUAGGGAUAGUUGGGGGCAUUCGUAUUUAACUGUCAGAGGUGAAAUUCUUGGAUUUUUUAAAGACGGACUACUGCGAAAGCAUCUGCCCAGGAUGUUUUUAUUAAUCAAGAACGAAAGUUAGGGGAUCGAAGACGAUCAGAUACCGUCCUAGUCUUAACCUUAAACCAUGCCGACUAGAGAUUGGGGUCGUCAGCACUUUGACGCCUUCAGCAACUUGAGAGAAAUCCAAGUCUUUGGGUUCCGGGGGGAGUAUGGUCGCAAGGCUGAAACUCAAGGAAUUGACGGAAGGGCACCACCAGGAGUGGAGCCUGCGGCUU
rnacentral:rRNA from 1 species